AUGCUGACCAUUUUGCUUGCUCUUCUGCCUGGUGCUGGGCUCGGAAAAAUCAUCACGCAACGGCCAGAAGAAACCCUCAAGAGAGCUGGAGAGACUGUGGACAUCUCCUGUUACCAGAAUCAUACCCGCCAACUUGCCUAUAUGUUCUGGUACCAGCAGCCUCCUGGGAGUGGUCUUAAGUUAGUAGCCAGCACUUCUGUGUGGUUGCAGAACUCUUAUGCAGAAGGUUACAGUGAGGCCAAGUUUGAGAUCAGCAGAGACAACAGCAAUCUCUCUGUUAUGACUAUCAAGAAUGUGACAUACAAGGAUGCAGCCACGUAUUUCUGUGCUGCGAGUGAUCACACGGUACAGUGAGAGGGUUGAG